rnacentral:lncRNA from 1 species
AACGACCGGGACGAACUUCACGUUACCUUGAACUUGUUUACAACGUUCUUCAAAAUCGGAGGUAUUUCUAAACCAAACGUCGUCUAUUGGCGAACUUUUUAAUUUUGGCGUCUUAGGAGACGCCCCUCACAUUAUGAAUUCCGAGAUCCAUCUCUCGAAGAUGUUAUUUGCCAAGUUGAACAUCAUAAUUAAAAAGAUAAACAGGAACAAAUGAAAAGAAAAAAUGAAAUGGUAUAAAUAAAAAAAAACUAGUUUUUGAUUCCAGAAC